GAUGAACGCUGGCGGCGUGCCUAAUACAUGCAAGUCGAGCGAACAGACGAUGAGCUUGCUCCUCUGACGUUAGCGGCGGACGGGUGAGUAACACGUGGAUAACCUACCUAUAAGACUGGGAUAACUUCGGGAAACCGCAGCUAAUACUGGAUAAUAUAUUGAACCGCAUGGUUCAAUAGUGAAAGACGGUUUUGCUGUCACUUAUAGAUGGAUCCGCGCCGCAUUAGCUAGUUGGUAAGGUAACGGCUUACCAAGGCGACGAUGCGUAGCCGACCUGAGAGGGUGAUCGGCCACACUGGAACUGAGACACGGUCCAGACUCCUACGGGAGGCAGCAGUAGGGAAUAUUCCGCAAUGGGCGAAAGCCUGACGGAGCAACGCCGCGUGAGUGAAGAAGGUCUUCGGAUCGUAAAACUCUGUUAUUAGGGAAGAACAACUGUGUAAGAAACUAUGCACGUCCUGACGGUACCUAAACAGAAAGCCACGGCUAACUACGUG
rnacentral:rRNA from 1 species